GACGAACGCUGGCGGCGUGCCUAAUACAUGCAAGUAGAACGCACAGUUUAUACCGUAGCUUGCUACACCAUAGACUGUGAGUUGCGAACGGGUGAGUAACGCGUAGGUAACCUGCCUGGUAGCGGGGGAUAACUAUUGGAAACGAUAGCUAAUACCGCAUAAUAUUGAUUAUUGCAUGAUAAUUGAUUGAAAGAUGCUAUUGCAUCACUACCAGAUGGACCUGCGUUGUACUAGCUAGUAGGUGAGGUAACGGCUCACCUAGGCGACGAUACAUAGCCGACCUGAGAGGGUGAUCGGCCACACUGGGACUGAGACACGGCCCAGACUCCUGCGGGAGGCAGCAGUAGGGAAUCUUCGGCAAUGGACGAAAGUCUGACCGAGCAACGCCGCGUGAGUGAAGAAGGUUUUCGGAUCGUAAAGCUCUGUUGUAAGAGAAGAACGGGUGUGAGAGUGGAAAGUUCACACUGUGACGGUAUCUUACCAGAAAGGGACGGCUAACUACGUG
rnacentral:rRNA from 1 species